rnacentral:rRNA from 1 species
GAUGAACGCUGGCGGCGUGCCUAAUACAUGCAAGUCGAGCGAACGGACGAGAAGCUUGCUUCUCUGAUGUUAGCGGCGGACGGGUGAGUAACACGUGGAUAACCUACCUAUAAGACUGGGAUAACUUCGGGAAACCGGAGCUAAUACCGGAUAAUAUUUUGAACCGCAUGGUUCAAAAGUGAAAGACGGUCUUGCUGUCACUUAUAGAUGGAUCCGCGCUGCAUUAGCUAGUUGGUAAGGUAACGGCUUACCAAGGCAACGAUGCAUAGCCGACCUGAGAGGGGGAUCGGCCACACUGGAACUGAGACACGGUCAAGACUCCUACGGGAGGCAGCAGUAGGGAAUCUUACGCAAUGGGCGAAAGCCUGACGGAGCAACGACACGUGAGUGAUGAAGGUCUUCGGAUCGUAAAACUCUGUUAUUAGGGAAGAACAUAUGUGUAAGUAACUGUGCACAUCUUGACGGUACCUAAUCAGAAAGCCACGGCUAACUACGUG